rnacentral:rRNA from 1 species
UACGUAGGGUGCAAGCGUUGUCCGGAAUUAUUGGGCGUAAAGAGCUCGUAGGCGGUUUGUUGCGUCGGCUGUGAAAUCCCGAGGCUCAACCUCGGGUCUGCAGUCGAUACGAGCAAACUAGAGUGUUUGCAGGGGAGACUGGAAUUCCUGGUGUAGCGGUGAAAUGCGCAGAUAUCAGGAGGAACACCGGGUGGGCGAAGGCGGGUCUCUGGGCAACAACUGACGCUGGAGGAGCGAAAGCCGUGGGGAGCG